UGCCCUGGAUGUAAAAGACACUGGAACGCCUGACAGAUCAGCCAACAAAGGAGAUGUGUGGCACUGGUGUUGGCACUGGAGGCUGUGAGACCAGUGACUAGGAAACAUUUGUUUGCAAGUCACGUGGUCUCCAAAGCGAGACGGAAUGCUACCUCAGGUCUACAUUGCCCUUAGGAAGGCCUAUAUAUCUCAUGAACAUAGAUGCUAAAAUCCACAACAGAAGACCAGCAAAGUGAAUACAACUAAAUGACAACACACUAAGAAGAUAAUACAUCUGUUUCCCUUUGACCUCUUUGUACAGAUCAUUUGAUUCUAAGUUUGUACCUCAGUCGGUUUUGACCUUUACAAUGUCUGACUAAAAAUUACCAAUUCACAUCAUUACUUAAAAAUAUUCUUGGAAAAUAAAAUAGAAUAAAUUCGAAAUGCAAGAAA